CCGGAAAUAUGUCCGUUGGUCUGACCUCCGAUCAAAUAACUCCCGUCGUACGGUUAUCCGAAGGUGGGCCCCGGAUUUCUCUUUUUUUAUUUGGCGACAGGGCGGGGAGUGGGGGUGUGUGGACUAUAAAUAUAUUAUUUUUAAAUGAUAAUAGUGUUUAUUUUUAAACAUGUACGGAAGUCCAAAAGCACGCUUGUUCGUGAUCUCCAAUGCACUUGUUUGGCGUAUGGUUUACGAUACAUUAUGCGCAAUGAGGUACGGUAACGGGCAGUGCACACUGUAAACG